rnacentral:tRNA from 5 species
GGAAGCGUGGCAGAGUGGUCGAUUGCACCGGUCUUGAAAACCGGCGGCUCGCAAGGGCCCGUGAGUUCGAAUCUCACCGCUUCCGCCA